rnacentral:lncRNA from 10 species
GGUGGAGUGAGCUGCAUGUUAGACCCUUCGUUUAAUGUCAUGUUGAGCAAAGCCAAAAUGAUAUCUCCAGAUGGGAUGAGUAAACUUUUCUCUAAAAGGGUAGGUGGCUAUGGAUGUGGAGAAGGGUGUGGUGUUGUCCUGCUGAAACCUCUAAGGAAGGUCAGUCAACUUAAAAAUCAGUCUGGAGUGGUUCUCUGAUCAGCUACAGGCAGCUUUCUGUACCCAUGGCUUCUUCAUCCAUGGAUUCAACUAAGCCUCAGUUUUGUGCUCAGUAAAAUGGGGAUGACAAUAAUAGUGUAUACCGAGUAGGGUUGCAGCAAGAGUUAAAUAAGUUAAUACUGAAAGGUGCCUAGAAAAGUGCCCAGAAUGUAGUAAGCAUGAUAUAUGAGCUGUUGUUGCUGUUAUUAUUGCUAUUAAAGACCGAGUGCAUGGAACACAGAUGCAAACCUCCUCCCUAACUUCUCCCAUAUCUUCCUCAUGUAAACUGCUCCAGCCAAGCGAUUUAUCUGUUGUUGUUGUUCCAUACACAGCUUUUUUGUUUGUUUUGUUUUUUUAGAGACAGGAUUUUGCUCUGUCACUCAGGCUGGAGUGCAGUGGCAUGAUCACAGCUCACUGCAACCUUGAACUCCUGGCCUCAAGCAAUGCUCCUGCCUCAGCCUCCUAAGUACCUGGGACUAUGGUUGUGUGCCACCAUGCCUGGCUAAUAUUUAUUUAUUAAUUGAUUGAUUUAAGACAGUUUCACUCCUUAUUAUUAUUAUUAUUUUUAUUGUAGAGACAAGGUUUCACUAUAUUGCCCAGGCUGUUCUUGAACUCCUGGGCUCAAGCAAUCCUCCUGCUUUGGCAUCCCAAAGUUUUGGGAUUACAGCAUGUGCCGCCACACCUGGCCAAUACUCCCCAGUUUAUACACGAAGAAGGUAAAACACAGAGCAAUUAAGUAACUCACCCAGGAUGGUCCCAUUGAGCAAGUGGCUGAGCUGGGAUUCAAGCCCAGCGAGUCCUGUCACAUAGGAUCCCACGCUUAUAUCUCACUUUGCUCUAUGGAAGUCAUGCUUACUUUUGGGAAAAUUGCCUUUGAUUCAAAGUUGGGGACAGAAUUUUAUUUUAUUCUAUUUUAAGUUUUUAUUUUUAUGCAUAGAAUAGUUGGGACAAAUAAACCAAAUUUUAAGUAUUAUAUUUCUUUUUGAUUGAAGAUCUUGCAUGUUGAAAGUCUUCUUAGGAUUUUUUUUUUUUUUUUAGAUGGAUUCUCGCUUUGUUGCCAGGCUGGAGUGCAGUGGUAUGAUCUCGGCUCACUGCAACCUCCGCCUCCCAGGUUCAAGCGAUUCUCCUGCCUCAGCCUCCUGAGUAGCUGGGAUUACAGGCAUGCACCACCACACCUAGCUAAUUUUUGUAUUUUUUGUAGAGACAGGGUUUCACCAUGUUGGCCAGGAUGGUGUGGAUCUCCUGACCUUGUGAUCUGCCCGUCUCAGCCUCCCAAAGGGCUGGGAUUACAGGCAUGAGCCACUGUGCCCAGCCAGAAAUUUUAUACUUAAUUUAAAGCCCUAGCAAAGAGGAUGAAAGUCAUAGGAUUGAGGCUACCCCCCACUGUUGUUCCUGUCUGCAGGAAGGGUAACUUCAGAAUUCCUUUCCACAUGGAAUCAAUCCCACAAGCCUUGUAUUCACAGAAUCUGCCAAGUGUUACUCAAGUGAAUGUUAUCUCUACAUAUUUGAGAUUUCAAGUAAAUAUAGG